GCGGGUAUAGUACAAUGGUAGUACAGCAGCCUUCCAAGCUGGCUAUGCGGGUUCGAUUCCCGCUACCCGCUCCA
rnacentral:tRNA from 1 species